rnacentral:lncRNA from 1 species
UCUCCAAACAAACUCCCAUUUUGAUGUUCUGGAUGGACAUACGUUUUAGGGACACCAAACUACUAGAACCCCUUAUUGCCUGUGACCCCAGAUAAAUCAUGAGAUGACAAAGAAACAGAGCACUUUUAGCUAGGAAUGUGAUGAUACGCAAUGUCUUCGGCAAGAAGAGAAAAUAAGGAGACUGAUCAAAAUCUGAAAUCACAAUCUCAGCCACACCUUCACAGAGCAGGAAGUGUUGGAUUAAUGGGAACCAGGAAGCCAUCAUGCCCAGAAGACCACAGCAGAGAUGCAUUGAAAAGCUGGCAGCUGAUGAAUAGAUGAGGUUCCCGGCAUUUUUCCCAGGUGGGCAGGUGGGCUUGAGGUGUACCUAUGGCCAUACCCAAGCCUUUUGUCUAUAAAUCACCAUGGAUGUGCAGAGAGUUAGGUAUUUAAGUCUACGCAUUAACUGAAUUCACUUAAAGAUCUUACUACUAAUUUUUUUUUUUAUGGUUAAAACCAGAUGUACUGUAAGUGCAAUGUAAGUUUUAUGUUUAAAUGGAAAGUCAUCAUUGAUUAAGGAAAAUC